CAGGAUUAGAUACCCUGGUAGUCCACGCCGUAAACGAUGUCAACUAGCCGUUGGGGAGCUUAGUCUCCUUAGUGGCGUAGCUAACGCGCUAAGUUGACCGCCUGGGGAGUACGGUCGCAAGAUUAAAACUCAAAUGAAUUGACGGGGGCCCGCACAAGCGGUGGAGCAUGUGGUUUAAUUCGACGCAACGCGAAGAACCUUACCAGGUCUUGACAUCCAGAGAACUUUCCAGAGAUGGAUUGGUGCCUUCGGGAACUCUGAGACAGGUGCUGCAUGGCUGUCGUCAGCUCGUGUCGUGAGAUGUUGGGUUAAGUCCCGUAACGAGCGCGACCCUUGUCCUUAGUUGCCAGCACAUAAUGGUGGGAACUCUAAGGAGACUGCCGGUGACAAACCGGAGGAAGGUGGGGACGACGUCAAGUCAUCAUGGCCCUUACGGCCUGGGCUACACACGUGCUACAAUGGCUAGGACAGACGGCCGCAAACCCGCGAGGGGGAGCCAAUCCGACAAACCUAGUCGUAGUCCGGAUCGGAGUCUGCAACUCGACUCCGUGAAGUCGGAAUUGCUAGUAAUCGCGAAUCAGAAUGUCGCGGUGAAUACGUUCCCGGGCCUUGUACACACCGCCCGUCACACCAUGGGAGUGGGUUGCUCCAGAAGUGGUUAGUCUAACCUUCGGGGGGACGAUCACCACGGAGUGAUUCAUGACUGGGGUGAAGUCGUAACAAGGUAGCCCUAGGGGAACCUGUGGCUGGAUCACCUCCUU
rnacentral:rRNA from 1 species